rnacentral:rRNA from 1 species
CCUACGGGGGGCAGCAGUGGGGAAUAUUGCACAAUGGGCGCAAGCCUGAUGCAGCCAUGCCGCGUGUGUGAAGAAGGCCUUCGGGUUGUAAAGCACUUUCAGCGGGGAGGAAGGCGGUGAGGUUAAUAACCUCAUCGAUUGACGUUACCCGCAGAAGAAGCACCGGCUAACUCCGUGCCAGCAGCCGCGGUAAUACGGAGGGUGCAAGCGUUAAUCGGAAUUACUGGGCGUAAAGCGCACGCAGGCGGUCUGUCAAGUCGGAUGUGAAAUCCCCGGGCUCAACCUGGGAACUGCAUUCGAAACUGGCAGGCUAGAGUCUUGUAGAGGGGGGUAGAAUUCCAGGUGUAGCGGUGAAAUGCGUAGAGAUCUGGAGGAAUACCAGUGGCGAAGGCGGCCCCCUGGACAAAGACUGACGCGCAGGUGCGAAAGCGUGGGGAGCAAACAGGAUUAGAUACCCCGGUAGUC